rnacentral:rRNA from 1 species
AACGCGAAGAACCUUACCAGCUCUUGACAUGUCCAGUAUGGGUUCGAGAAAUCGGACUCUUCAGUUCGGCUGGCUGGAACACAGGUGCUGCAUGGCUGUCGUCAGCUCGUGUCGUGAGAUGUUGGGUUAAGUCCCGCAACGAGCGCAACCCUCACCUUCAGUUGCCAUCAGGUUAAGCUGGGCACUCUGAAGGAACUGCCGGUGACAAGCCGGAGGAAGGCGGGGAUGACGUCAAGUCCUCAUGGCCUUUAUGGGCUGGGCUACACACGUGCUACAAUGGCGGUGACAGUGGGAUGCAAUGGAGUGAUCCUGCGCAAAUCUCAAAAAGCCGUCUCAGUUCGGAUUGUGCUCUGCAACUCGAGCACAUGAAGUUGGAAUCGCUAGUAAUCGCAGAUCAGCACGCUGCGGUGAAUACGUUCCCGGGCCUUGUACACACCGACUGUAC